ACAUGCUUACAAGAUACUGUUAAUGCACCGGAUCCCAUUAGAACUCCGCAGUUAAGCACGCUCAGACUAGAGUAGUACUCGAAUGGGUUAUCGUCAUGGAAGUCCUAUUCGUUUACAUGCC
rnacentral:rRNA from 1 species